rnacentral:rRNA from 1 species
ACGAACGCUGGCGGCGUGCUUAACACAUGCAAGUCGAACGGAAAGGCCCUGCUUUUGUGGGGUGCUCGAGUGGCGAACGGGUGAGUAACACGUGAGUAACCUGCCCUUGAUUUUGGGAUAACUUCAGGAAACUGGGUCUAAUACCGGAUAGGAGCUCCUGCUGCAUGGUGGGGGUUGGAAAGUUUCGGCGGUUGGGGAUGGACUCGCGGCUUAUCAGCUUGUUGGUGGGGUAGUGGCUUACCAAGGCUUUGACGGGUAGCCGGCCUGAGAGGGUGACCGGCCACAUUGGGACUGAGAGACGGCCCAGACUCCUACGGGAGGCAGCAGUGGGGAAUAUUGCACAAUGGGCGGAAGCCUGAUGCAGCAACGCCGCGUGCGGGAUGACGGCCUUCGGGUUGUAAACCGCUUUCGCCUGUGACGAAGCGUGAGUGACGGUAAUGGGUAAAGAAGCACCGGCUAACUACGUG